UGUGUCACACCCUAAAGGUUUCCCCUGAGGGAAGCAUACUUCUGGGUCUACCAUUUUUCUCGCGGUUGGGGGAGCGGCUUGUCGGUUUGAAAAAAGCCCCCUUAUCGCAGCCCCAUCAUUCUGAGCGCGAAACAGGCUGACCCGGCCAUGAGGAGAGUUCCCCCCCCCACCGCCGCCUCCCAGAAUGUUUGAAACCAUCUGUUCUCCUGUAUAAAGAUGUCGCUGAUAGACCUGGGGAAGAAGCUCCUGGAAGCAGCCCGCCAAGGCCAGGAUGACGAAAUCAGGCUGCUGAUGGCCAACGGAGCCCCCUUCACCACGGAAUGGACUCGCUUCUUCCCCAAGUGAGCCCAGAAGGUGAGAAAAAAAUCCAGGCCUGGAUUUGCUUACACUUGUGAAGCUGAACUUUCCAGCAGGUAUAUAAUUAGAAGCAAGAACUCGGCGGGGGAAUUGCUUUCAUAAUAAUUCCAUAUUUAUAUUUUUAUCUCCUCUGCAGAAGCUGCGGGAAAAGGCUGGGGGGGGGGAAUGGGCUGGCUCUAUUGGUCUGGAGCAUUGUGUGUGUGUCCCCCCCCCCUUAUUGCAAGAAAUGGAUGCUUUUCCCACCAAGGGGUCCAAGUGUGGGUCCUGGGGAUUAGAUUGCAAGGAGGGCAGUGAUCGGGCAUCCCGCUACAGCUGUGCUUUUCAACCUUGGCACCUUCAAGAGAGGUGGACUUCUACUCCCACAAUUCCCCGGCUGGCCUGGACUUCAACUCCCAGAAUUCCAUCAUCAGCAUGCCAGUUAGAGCAUUCUGGGAGUUGAAGUCCACUCCUCUUAAAGCAUACUGGCUGGGGGAUUCUGGGAGUUGAAGGGCCUGCUCUGUGCCUCCAUCUAACAUUUGGUUAAAGCCCACCCAAAUGGGAUGGGGAUGUUUUUAAAAACCCUGGUGGGGUCUGGAAGCUGGUAGAAAAAGGAGGGCGGCUGUGGGACCCCCUCUCAGCCAUUCUGAUGCUUUUGUUCUCUUUUUAAAAACUCCAGACUUUUUUGUGAUUGGAGGGGGGGGAAUACGUGUCAAGCCCAGAUCCGGGGAAAUCGUGUGAAAGGGAGGAGGGAUCCUUGUUACAGCGAGAAGCUGCCACUGUGUCAGCAUUUUCCUGAACCAUCUGCCAGGCACAACUUUGCCACUAUAAAUACAACUCCCGACGCCGCAGCCGAGGGUGCUCAGCCUGGCAUCUCAGCGCCAGCCAACAGCCGCGCGGCUGCUGUGCCUUGCCAGGCGCUGUCGGGAAGAUUUCGAGAGAGAUCUGCCAGAUCGCACCAGGGCAUCGGAGCCCCAGGCCUGCCCUUCCCAGCCAUCCUCCCUGAGCUGCCAGGCUUGUAGCAGGCAGGGUGUCCCCUCCAAGAGGCUAGUACUCAUGGCAACUGAGGGUCAAAUCUUGCCUCUUUUCUUCCAGAGAUGGAAAUAGCUGUAUCAUGUGAAAAGCAACACACACAGCAGAGAAGUGUUUCUGUUUGUCUGUGUUUCUUUUUCAAAAACAACAACAACAACAACAACAACAACAACCUUGCCUUCUGGCUAGCAGAAAAAUAUCUCGCCUUUCCUUUGUCAUCAUUUUAAGCGGCCGAGCCAGAAUCCCUUCACUUCACUUAACGAGAAUCCCCAGGCCUUGAAUUUAUGAUAUGGAUUUUUUUUUUGUUUCCAAUGGGAGAGAAAAUGAAGAUUUUGUUGGAUAUUUGCAGUGGCCUUUAUGCAUGGACAGAUGUUGCAGUGAAAUUAUCUUUUCGGCACCUUUUGCAAAAAAAAAAAAAUCAGUUUGGUGAUGCCUGCUGGCUGGGGAAUUCUGGGAGUUGAAGUCCACCCAUCUUAAACUGUCCAGGUUGAUGAGUUUCCUUGGAAGUUUCCCUUCCAAGGAAACUCAUCCAGCCUCAGGGUGGCACGCUGGACUUAGGAGAUGUUCAGCACCAGAAUAUUGCAUCAAGGCGGUGACUUUUUUGCAGGAUUUUCUCCCUCCCCCCUUGAUACCUCCAAGGGGAAAAAAAUUCUAAUAACAGUCCAAGCCCACCUCGGUCAGUUCCAGACAUGCAUUUUUAAAAGGUCUCCCAGGCUACAAAACGGGGGUGCCCCAAAAGGCACAAAGUCGUUGGCUGAAGAGAAAAGGCUGGCAAGAUUUGAAGCUCUCCAAACUCAGCACUUAUAUAUAGGGGGGGGGAGAAGAGAAAAAAAGGGAGGAUCCAUCUUUUUUUGCCUUCAGGUAGACUUUGCUUGGACAUGGAGGUUCCAUUCUGAGGUCUGGGAACUCUCAUCAAAGCAUUCCUAAAAGCACUGGGAGUUCUGCGGCCAUUUCCACCAAAUUGCAUUUAAAAAAAAAAAUGAAUGAAAAUGUUCACCUGGGGUAGCGAAAAGCAGCCCAGACCCAUUGA